GCACCGAUGGAGACCCCCCCAAAGCCAGCGCGUGCAGGAUGGCGAUACUUCUUUUACCUGCCUCAUCUGCGGAUAAAUUGUAAUGAAUGCAGUUGACUACUAAGCACAAGUUCUGUUGAGAGUGUGCGAGCUGGGAGGAAGGUCAUGCUGGAUCUAGCUUAAGGUGUGAACAGAGGUGGCCACUGGGCUGAGGCUUCACAAAGGAAGGUUUGGUCUGGAAUUUGUUUUCGUGGCACAGCAUCUCAGACAACUCCGUCUGGGACAGAAGCAGCUAAAGAGGAGGAAACCCUGAAGAGCCUCGUGGAUGUUGUGCAGCAAGUAAUGCGAAAGGUUCCCACGCAGGGCCCACCAGCUCAGCAUUCAGCCGUUACACCCACUCUUAAUGAUACCGUCGAGGCUCUUUGGGUAAAAGUAUACAGGAAACAUGCUAAAAAGCAAAAAAACCUAGAAAACAUCACAAUGACAAGAAAACCUGCUCCAUCUACAACACCAUCAGUUUUGACACUCCAAACUGACCCAGAUAUUUCGGUUGUUUUAUGUGUUGGUGAGUCGCCUCAGCUGACAACAGCACUGGAAGAGCUAGCCUUAAUAUUUCAAACUGCUGCUGCAAAAAAGAGACAUAAGACUCUUGAUCAGUUAAUAAAUGGAUUUAGUGGAAUCUUGGAAGAAUGUUUUAAAAAAAGGAAUGUUAAAUAUCACAAUUAAAUUUGAAAACCCAAAACCUACCAGCAAAACGAUGAAAAAGGUUGCAUGGGUCUAAGAAGGUGGAACAUCAAGCUGCAGGCAGUCGUCUUGGGAAUGAUUGAAAUGUUACAGACAGCAGCAGAGAAUGCAUCCGAGGGCGUUACACAAACCAAAUCUCAAUGGGCAUGUUGAAUUGGCUGAAAUCUAGAUGGCAAAAGCUCAGGCACUAGAAAAGCAGUAGAGAAUUUUUAAGAACAACAGUAUAAUUUUUCUGAUGCUUCCUCUGCUCCUCCCUCUCCAUCUCUGUCUGUCCACUAGGUCUAGGAGAGAGCUCAGCUGAAACCAAGAGAAGAUCUUUUGAUUAACCUGCUUUACAAUUUUAGUCCUCAGUUAAAUACAUAUAUUGAUAGUUAUGUUGAGAAAAAUAUUCCAGCUUGUAAGAACGGUGAAAACACUCUAAAAAACUAGUUAAAUUCUAAUAUCUGGAAUAUUGUCAUUGUCUUUCCUUGAGGUUUAAAAAAUCGAUUUUCAGUUUUGUCAUCACCCAAACCAGAUAUAACUGUAUUUGUCCCAGUACUUAAAUGUUACCAUUUUUAGAUGUUUUUACUCACAUCUGUUAUGUGACAAUGGUAAAUUGGACCGUAGUGAAAUAAAGAGCAAUGCUCAGUGGGCUUUUCCAAAUUUUGCUGUGUUUCAUAUGUGCGUAUAAGAUGACAAUGCAAGUCACUCAUAUUUUUAGAAUACACUUGAUGUUCUACACUAAUGGCACAAUAAUAAA